GCUGAUCUUGCCCAAGAGUCCAUAUCGACGGCAUGGUUUGGCACCUCGAUGUCGGCUCGUCGCCUCCUGGGGCUGGAGUUGGUCCCAAGGGUUGGGCUGUUCGCCCAUUAAAGCGGUACGCGAGCUGGGUUCAGAACGUCGUGAGACAGUUCGGUCCCUAUCCGCUGCGUGCGUUGGAAAUUUGUGGAGGCCUGUCCUUAGUACGAGAGGACCGGGACGGACGAACCUCUGGUAUGUCAGUUGUUCCGCCAGGAGCAUCGCUGAUUAGCUACGUUCGGGAUUGAUAACCGCUGAAAGCAUCUAAGCGGGAAGCUUGCUCCGAGAUGAGAUUUCCUGACCCCCUUUGUGGGGUGUGAGGUGCCCAGUAGACGACUGGGUUGAUAGGCCAGGUGUGGAAGCGUUGUAAGGCGUGGAGCUGACUGGUACUAAUACACCGAAGACUUAUACACACA
rnacentral:rRNA from 1 species